rnacentral:rRNA from 1 species
AUGGACGUACUGCUCAGUAACGCGUGGUCAACUUACCCUACGGUGGAGGAUAACCUCGGGAAACUGAGGAUAAUACUCCAUAGUUGAGAAGGCUUGGAAUAGUUUCUCAUCGAAAGGCCUUGAAAAUGGUCAAGAUACCGCCGUAGGAUAGGACCGCGUCCGAUUAGGUAGUUGGCGAGGUAAUGGCUCACCAAGCCUAUUAUCGGUAAGGGCCGUGAGAGCGGUAGCCCUGAGAUGGGUACUGAGACAAGGACCCAGGCCCUACGGGGUGCAGCAGGCGCGAAAACUUCGCAAUGCGCGAAAGCGUGACGAGGCUACCCGGAGUGAUUCUUGAAGAGAAUCUGUGGAGAGGUCUAACAAGCCUCUCAAGAAAGGAGAGGGCAAGGCUGGUGCCAGCCGCCGCGGUAAAACCAGCUCUUCAAGUUGUCGGGACGAUUACUGGGCUUAAAGAGUCCGUAGCCGGUUUAGCAAGUCCCUGGUAAAAUCUGGCAGCUUAACUGUCAGUAGGCUAGGGAAACUACUUUACUAGAGGGCGGGAAAGGUCUGGGGUACUUCAGGGGUAGGGGUGGAAUCCUAUAAUCCUUGGGGGACCACCAGUGGCGAAAGCGCCAGACUGGAACGCGCCUGACGGUGAGGGACGAAAGCCAGGGGAGCAAACCGGAUUAGAUACCCGGGUAGUCCUGGCCGUAAACGAUGCGUGCGACGUGUUGGUAAGUCCACGAGCCGUAUCAGUGCCGUAGGGAAACCGAUAAGCACGCCGCCUGGGGAUUACGGUCGAGAGGCUGCUUA